rnacentral:rRNA from 1 species
UACGGGGGGAGCAAGCGUUGUUCGGAUUUACUGGGCGUAAAGGGCGCGUAGGCGGUCUCCGCAAGUCAGUUGUGAAAUCUCCGAGCUUAACUCGGAAAGGUCAACUGAUACUGCGGGGCUAGAGUGCGGAAGGGGCAACUGGAAUUCUUGGUGUAGCGGUGAAAUGCGUAGAUAUCAAGAGGAACACCUGCGGCGAAGGCGGGUUGCUGGGCCGACACUGACGCUGAGGCGCGAAAGCUAGGGGAGCGAACGGG